rnacentral:rRNA from 1 species
CGCUAUGCAUGCAGUCGAACGGGCAAAGGGGCUUCGGCCCCGGAGCUAGUGGCAGACGGCUGAGUAACACGUAAGUGAUCUGCCCCGGAGCGGGGGAUAAUCCGGAGAAAUUCGGUCUAAUACCCCGUACGUUCAUAUGGUCAAGGCUAUAUGAAGAAAGGUUUCGACCGCUCUGGGAGGAGCUUGCGGCCUAUCAGGUAGUUGGCGGGGUAAUGGCCCACCAAGCCGAAGACGGGUAACCGAUGUGAGAGCAUGAUCGGUCAGAGGGGGACUGAGACACGGCCCCCACUCCUACGGGAGGCAGCAGCAGGGAAUCUUGCGCAAUGGGCGAAAGCCUGACGCAGCGACACCGCGUGGGGGAAGAAGGCCUUAGGGUUGUAAACCCCUUUUCUGUGGGAAGAGAUAGGACGGUACCACAGGAAUAAGCAUCGGCUAACUACGUGCCAGCAGCCGCGGUAAUACGUAGGAUGCAAGCGUUGUCCGGAUUUACUGGGCGUAAAGGGUGUGUAGGCGGCAUGUUAAGUCUCAUGUGAAAUCUCCCGGCUCAACUGGGAGCGGUCAUGGGAAACUGGCAAGCUUGAAGGCAGCAGAGGAAAGCGGAAUUCCGGGAGUAGUGGUGGAAUGCGUAGAUACCCGGAGGAACACCAGAGGCGAAGGCGGCUUUCUGGGCUGUGCCUGACGCUGAGACACGAAAGCGUGGGGAGCAAACCGGAUUAGAUACCCGGGUAGUCCACGCCCUAAACGAUGGAUACUAGAUAUGGGGGGUAUCGACCCCUCCCGUGUCGGAGUUAACGCGAUAAGUAUCCCGCCUGGGGAGUACGGCCGCAAGGCUAAAACUCAAAGGAAUUGACGGGUCCCCGCACAAGCGGCGGAGCGUGUGGUUUAAUUCGAUGAUAAGCGAAGAACCUUACCUGGGCUUGACAUGCACUUGACAGCCCGUGAAAGCGGGUCUUCUUUC